UUACGGGAGGCUGCAGUGGGGAAUAUUGCACAAUGGAGGAAACUCUGAUGCAGCAACGCCGCGUGGAGGAUGACACUUUUCGGAGCGUAAACUCCUUUUAUAUAGGAAGAAGAUGACGGUACUAUAUGAAUAAGCGCCGGCUAACUCCGUGCCAGCAGGCCGCGGUAAUACGGAGGGCGCAAGCGUUACUCGGAAUCACUGGGCGUAAAGAGCGUGUAGGCGGAUUAAAAAGUCAGAAGUGAAAUCCUAUAGCUUAACUAUAGAACUGCUUCUGAAACUCUUAAUCUAGAAUGUGGGAGAGGUAGAUGGAAUUUCUGGUGUAGGGGUAAAAUCCGUAGAGAUCAGAAGGAAUACCGAUUGCGAAGGCGAUCUACUAGAACAUUAUUGACGCUGAGACGCGAAAGCGUGGGGAGCAAACAGGAUUAGAUACCCGUGUAGUC
rnacentral:rRNA from 1 species